rnacentral:miRNA from 1 species
GCAGACACAUUCCAGCCAAUCAGCAGCAGACCCUCCCUCCCAGGCCCUCCCACCUCCUUGACAACAUCCAUUUUGAAGCUGCAUUCUUAGUGAGCUGUCCAGGAGGUGGGAGGGUCUGGGAGGGAGGGUCUGCUGCUGAUUGGCUGGAAUGUGUCUG